rnacentral:lncRNA from 1 species
UUUUUUUUUUUUUUUUUGAGACAGAGUCUCCCUUUGUCGCCUAGGCUGGAGUGCAGUGGCGCAAUCUUGGCUCACUGCAACUUCCACCUCCUGGGUUCAAAUGAUUCUCCUGCCUCAGCCUCUCAGAGUAGCUAGGACUACAGGGGCACGCCACCACGCCCAGCUAAUUGUUUUUGUAUUUUUUAGUAGAGAUGAGGUUUCAUCAUGUUGGCCAGGCUGGUCUCAAACUCUUGACCUCAGGUGAUCCUCCUGCCUUGGUCUCCCAAAGUGCUGGGAUUACAGGCGUGAGCCAUGUGAAAUGUUUAAAUAAAACACCCAUGGAGUGUUCCUUAGAAGCUGACCAGGAGGAUUCUGGUUGUGUUGGGCCACUAGUGUUGGUUUCCCAGAGGUGGCAAGUCUCUGUCACUUUCUUUCUCCAUCUCUCCUGUUUACUCUGCCCUCCUCUUUCUCACUCCAUGUUCUCCACCUUUCUUUGCUUAGUGAAAAAGAAUUAGUUCGCUUCAUUCAUUCAGCCACUCACCUAUUGGCUCAUUUAUUCACUCCUUCAUUCUGAGUGCUGCAUUUAAGUGCCAUGGACACUGCAGUGAACAAGACAAGGUGUUGCCCUCACAAAGGGUGUGGUCUGAGGGGUGAGACAAUGGUUAAAUGGGCAUUUACAAUGCAGCGUGGUGAGGUGGUGGGCGCUACCCUGGGGAGGAGCACAGAGGGGCCCUGUCUAGCCUUGGCCAGGUCAGGCAGGGCUUCCAGAAAGCCUGCACUAAACCGAAGUCUGAGUCCUCAGCACUGGGGAGGGAGCCAGGCAGCUAGGCAAAUGCUCUCUGGAAUCUUUGCUUAUGGGCUGUACGUUUUCUAUUUGGUGACUUUAAACUGGUUAUCUGACCAUGGUAGGAAACUUGGUGGCAGAUAUGACAGGUAGAGGAAAUAAUGGCAUGCAGAAGCCGAGAGCUCAUCCCUUAAAGCAGCAGAGGUGCCUGAUUUUGAUGCAGUUAAAUAAGCAAAAGUACAAAUGGCAAUUUGAGUGUGUAUGUGUGUUUCGUGUUGUGUGCUCUUGUGUGUGUGUGUACUAUUCAUUUCUUGUUUCUCGUAGUUAGUCCAGUUUUCAUGUUCUUGUGAAUUAAAAGCAUCACUGAACUGAGACUAAAUUUUCCUGAAAACCAAAAUAAGGAGCUGAAUUAAGAGUUUAAGAAUUUAGGAAUCUUUGGUUUCAAAAUCAAGAUGAACACUAUCUCUUGCCCUUUGAUGUUUCUUUUUCUCUUGAGAGGAGCAUUAUUUUGAUAUAUUUUUGCCAUUCAAGUACUCAUAAAAGAUUUCUGGAAGUCACUUUUUACCUUAAUGAGUUGAAGCAUCAUUUCUGAUCAAACUUGCUUUGCUUUGUAG